CCCUGGAAACGGGGUCUAAUACCGGAUACUGAUCGCCUUGGGCAUCCUUGGUGAUCGAAAGCUCCGGCGGUGCAGGAUGAGCCCGCGGCCUAUCAGCUUGUUGGUGAGGUAAUGGCUCACCAAGGCGACGACGGGUAGCCGGCCUGAGAGGGCGACCGGCCACACUGGGACUGAGACACGGCCCAGACUCCUACGGGAGGCAGCAGUGGGGAAUAUUGCACAAUGGGCGAAAGCCUGAUGCAGCGACGCCGCGUGAGGGAUGACGGCCUUCGGGUUGUAAACCUCUUUCAGCAGGGAAGAAGCGAAAGUGACGGUACCUGCAGAAGAAGCGCCGGCUAACUACGUGCCAGCAGCCGCGGUAAUACGUAGGGCGCGAGCGUUGUCCGGAAUUAUUGGGCGUAAAGAGCUCGUAGGCGGCUUGUCGCGUCGGUUGUGAAAGCCCGGGGCUUAACCCCGGGUCUGCAGUCGAAUAACGGGCAGGCUAGAAGUUCGGUAGGGG
rnacentral:rRNA from 1 species